AGAACGAACGCUGGCGGCAUGCCUAAUACAUGCAAGUCGAACGAACUCUUCGGAGUUAGUGGCGCACGGGUGCGUAACGCGUGGGAAUCUGCCCCUUGGUUCGGAAUAACAGUUGGAAACGACUGCUAAUACCGGAUGAUGACGAAAGUCCAAAGAUUUAUCGCCAAGGGAUGAGCCCGCGUAGGAUUAGCUAGUUGGUGAGGUAAAGGCUCACCAAGGCAACGAUCCUUAGCUGGUCUGAGAGGAUGAUCAGCCACACUGGGACUGAGACACGGCCCAGACUCCUACGGGAGCAGCAGUAGGGAAUAUUGGACAAUGGGACGAAAGCCUGAUCCAGCAAUGCCGCGUGAGUGAGUGGAAGGUCCGUUAGGUUGUAAAGCCUUACUUUACCCGAGUAUGAUAAUGACAGUA
rnacentral:rRNA from 1 species